rnacentral:rRNA from 1 species
UACGUAGGGGGCAAGCGUUGUCCGGAUUUAUUGGGCGUAAAGAGCGUGUAGGCGGCCAAAUAGGUCGGUUGUGAAAACUGGAGGCUUAACCUCCAGACGUCGACCGAAACCAUCUGGCUAGAGUCCGGAAGAGGAGAGUGGAAUUCCUGGUGUAGCGGUGAAAUGCGCAGAUAUCAGGAAGAACACCCGUGGCGAAGGCAGCACUCUGGGACGUGACUGACGCUGAGACGCGAAAGCGUGGGGAGCAAACAGG